rnacentral:rRNA from 1 species
UACGUAGGCAGCGAGCGUUGUUCGGAAUUACUGGGCGUAAAGAGUGUGUAGGCGGCGCUCUAAGUUCGGUGUGAAAUCUCUCGGCUUAACUGGGAGGUGCGCCGGAACUGGAGUGCUCGAACGUGGGAGAGGAAAGCGGAAUUCCUGGUGUAGCGGUGAAAUGCGUAGAUAUCAGGAGGAACACCUGCGGUGUAGACGGCUUUCUGGACCAUUGUUGACGCUGAGACACGAAAGCGUGGGUAGCAAACAGG